AUUAUCUCCAAAACGUAACUCCAGCCUGGAAUGUCGCUUGGAUCCUAGAAAUCUGAAACAAUCAACGUUUCUGGUAUCUCUAAUGGUUAUCUUCCAGAUUUACAUACAUCUUAAUGUACACAAUGUAUCUUUGCAGAUAAGAUAUUAUUAGCCAGCCUUGAUGAUACUCAAAAGUUUAAUUCAAGAAGUAACAUUAGCAAAGAACUUUCAAUAUUGACUAAUACAGCCAGGGUUCUUUCUGCACAGGAAAACUUUU